rnacentral:rRNA from 1 species
UACGUAGGUGGCAAGCGUUGUCCGGAAUUACUGGGCGUAAAGAGCGCGCAGGCGGCUGGUCAAGUCCGAUGUGAAAGCUCCCGGCUUAACUGGGAAAUUGCAUCGGAAACUGAUCGGCUUGAAGGUGGGAGAGGGUAGUGGAAUUCCCGGUGUAGCGGUGAAAUGCGCAGAUAUCAGGAGGAACACCGGUGGCGAAGGCGGGUCUCUGGGCCGAUACUGACGCUGAGGAGCGAAAGCGUGGGGAGCGAACAGG